GGGGCUGUAGCUCAACUGGCUGAGCGUUUCCCUUGCACGGAAAAGGAUGUGGGUUCAAGUCCCAUCAGCUCCA
rnacentral:tRNA from 1 species